GCCCGGGCGGCGGCGAUGCUGUGGCCGCGGCUGGCGGCGGCCGAGUGGGCGGCGCUGGCCUGGGAGCUGCUGGGCGCCUCGGUGCUGCUGAUCGCUGUGCGGUGGCUGGUGCGGCGGCUGGGCCCGCGGCCGGGAGGUCUGGGCCGCAGCGGGACCCCAGUUCCUCCGCCAAGCGCGGCCGCCGCCCCCGCCCCAGGUAAGGCCCAGGCGGUCGCUGGGUCCCCGCACCCUGGCCCCUUCCCCGCCCCGACGCCCUCCUCGGGCCUGGGGUCCGGGCCGCGCCCCUGGAGCCCCUGGAGCCGGCAGCAGUUGGGCGAGGCGGCCGGGGAAACCAGGGCCGGUCGGGAAAGGCCAUUCCGGCCGCGGAAAGGGCAGUUGCGGGGGACUUGGCUUCCCGGGGCGGGGGCGGAGGGGCCACGCCGGGUUCGGGGGUGAGAGCUUUCCCGGGCCCGGGAGCAGCCUCCGGGGAAGGCGGCGGGGGCCCGGCGAGGCGUUAGCGGAGACUCUUGCUGCGGUCUAUCGAGACCUGGGGAGGGAUGGCCCAAAGGAGGGCGGCGGGGGAGGAAGCCCCUGGGUCCCGGAUGUGUUUGGAACGUGAAGCCACUGCGGUUACUGGUCAUUGAACGUAAGGCAGAGACGGAAAAGGCAAAUGUAACUUAGGGGUUUGGGGCCAGAGGAAACGGGAGAAGGUGGCCAUUUAUUGCUUUGCGGUAGACUGUCGGGUCUGGGUGAUGUGGAGAUCAGAGGUGGGUUUUGGUCGUUUUAAGUUUGAGGUAACUGAUACAGUGAACUGUGUAUUUCACCUCCAUCCCCUUUUCCUGGCAUACAAGUCUUGAAAUCUCGGGAACCUCCAAAGUGAUGUCUUUUGUAGGCUGAGUGGACUGGUGGCCGGCAGCCCCUAGGGAGCUUCUGGAUGGGGCUGGUCGCAGGAAAGACCAAGGCAGGGUUAGAGGUUCUGGGGACUUUCAGCCCCACCCCCAACCUCUGGGAAGGAGAGAGGGGUGAAGGUUGAGUUGAUCACCAAUGGCUGAUGAAUCAUGCCUGUGAAAUGAAGUUUCUGUAAAAACCCAAAAGGGCUGGGUUCAGGGAGCUUCCAGAUAGUACGUGGGGGUUCCUGGAGGCGGUGCCCAGAGAGGCCCUGAAUUUACAAGCGCUUCCCCUCGGUUUUACCUCACGCAUCUCUUCACCUGUAUUCUUUGUAAUCCUUUAUACUGUGCUGGUAAGUGUAAGUAAAACAUGUCUGUGAGUUCGGGAGCCACUCUAGCAAAUUACCGCAACCUGAGGAGGUCACCGGGUUACGCCCCGUCGGUCCGAAGCGCAGGUCAAACAACCUGGGCACUGGAAGUGGGGGGCAGUCUUGGGGGGCUGAGCCGUUAACCUGUGGGGUCUGCUGGUAUCUCCAGGAAGACGCUGUCAGAAUAGAUGACUGAGUUAGGAUGACAGACGACACCCAGCCUGUGUCCACUGCAGAACUGAUGACCUGCGUGAUUUGUGGGGAGAAAAUCCCCACAUACCUGGUGUCUGAAGCAUGUUGCAAGACUAGUGGGAGAAACUGAGUUUGUUUUUACUCUAAAUUGUCAGACUGUUAGUCACUGCGGAGCGGUGCUUUCUGAUGAUUGAGUGGGGAUUCCUGUCCAUUUGUGUGGGUUUGUGUCUCGGCCCUACCACUUUUUUUUUUUUUUUUUUUUGAAAUGGAGUCUCGCCCUGUGGCCCAGGCUGGAGUGCAGUGGCGCGAUCUCGGCUCACUGCAAGCUCCGCCUCCCGGGUUCAAGCGAUUCUCCUGCCUCAGCCUCCCGAGUAGCUGGGAUUACAGGCGCCUGCCACCACGCCCGGCUAAUUUUUGUAUUUUUAAUAGAGACGGGGUUUCACCAUGUUGGCCAGGAUGGUCUCGAAUUCCUGACCUAAGGUGAUCCACCUGCCUCAGCUUCCCAAAAUGCUGGGAUUACAGGUGUGAGCCAUCGCACCGGGCCCUACCACUUAUUGCUGUGGGCUUAACCUGUUUUCAGCCUGCUCAUUUAGGAAUAGGGAUGAUAGUAAUACCUGGUUAGGCUUUUUUGGGAGUUGGGUAAGUGCAGCACUUGGUAUGUGUUAAGCACCUCUGAGUGCUGUUACUGUCACCACCGGCAUCAUCCAGGCAGAGCUGCGGACAAGGUGGCGGGCUGGUGUUUUGAGAAUGGCUGAAAUAAAAAAUACUGAUAUUUUUAUUUAAUAUAAAAAUAUAUUUUUAUAUAUGAUGUAUAAUAUAUGUAUAUCAUAUGGUAUAUAUAAUACGCGUAUAUCAUAUGGCAUAUAUAAUAUACAUAUGUUAUAUAUAUAGUGAGCAGAGAUUUAGAGAAACUGGGUCUCGUGCAUUGCAGGUGGGGAUGGUAAGUGGUGCAGCUACUCUGGGAAUCAGCCUGGCAGGUUUUUAGGAAGUUAAACCUGCCCUGCAUUCCUGAGCUUUUAUUAGACAAAUGAAAACUAUUUUCACACAAAAACCCUUAUUUAAUGUUCAUAGCAACUUUAUUUGUAAUUACCAGAAACUGAAAUAACUCAAAUGGUUAAACUUGCACAUUGAUACCCCGGGGUGCCACUCCGCAGCGAUCCUCUCUGCCACUUGGGUGCCCCGGGGUGCCACACUGCGCAAUCCACUCUGCCAUGUGGGUGCCCCGGGGUGCCACUCCGCAGUGAUCCACUCUGCCACGUGGGUGCCCCGGGGUGCCACUCCACAGCGAUCCACUCUGCCACGUGGGUGCCCUGGGGUGCCACUCUGCAGCGAUCCUCUCUGCCACGUGGGUGCCCCAGGGUGCCACACUGCGUGAUCCACUCUGCCACGUGGGUGCCCCGGGGUGCCACUCCGCAGCGAUCCACUCUGCCACGUGGGUGGAUCUCAAGGGCAUUAUGCUGAAUAGGAAAAGCCAAUCUCAAAAGUUGUGUACUUGGCCGGGUGCGGUGGCUCAUGCCUGUAAUCCCAGCACUUUGGGAGGCCGAGGCAGGUGGAUCACAAGGUCAGGAGUUCAAGAUCAGCCUGGCCAACAUGGUGAGGCAGUCUCCACUAAAAAUACAAAAAAAUAGCGGGGUGUGGUGGCAGGUACCUGUAAUCCCAGCUACUCGGGAGGCUGAGGCAGCAGAAUUGCUUGAACCCAGGAGGUGGAGGUUGCGGUGAGCAGAGAUCAUGCCACUGCACUCCAGCCUGGGCGACAGAGCAAGACUCCAUCUCAAAAAAAAAAAAAAUUGUUAAUGGAACAUUAUAACCCAGUGUUCAGGCCUAGCUGUUUCUCACAUCUUUACCCAUCGAUCUGUCAAAGACCUUGUGAUCAUACUGAUACUUCCAAUUUCAAUGCGACGUCCGCGGGUUUAUUCUUUUUUUUUUAGGUGGAGUCUCACUCUGUUGUCCAGGCUGGAGGCUCACUGCAACCUCUACCUGCCCAGUUCAAGCGAUUCUCCCACCUAGCCUGCUGAGUAGCUGGGAUGACAGGUGCAUGCCACCAUGCCUGGCUAAUUUUUGUAUUUUUAGUAGACACCUGGUUUCAUCAUGUUGGCCAGGCUGGUCUCAAACACCUGACCUCAAAUGAUCCACGCACCUUGGCCUCCCAAAGUGCUGGGAUUACCGGCAUGAGCUACCGUGUCCGGCUCCCUGGCUUUAUUCUAAUGCAAGAGUCAGUAAACUGUGGUCCAAACUGGCCCCCACCUAUUUUCCUUAGUAAAGUUUUAUUGGAAUACAACCAUACCCUUUUGUUUAUGUAUAUCUGUGGCUGUUCUUUUUUUUUUUUUUUUGGAGACGGGGUCUUGCUCUGUUGCCCAGGUUGGAGUGCAGUGGCACAAACAGGGCUCACUGCAUCCUCAAACUCUUAGGCUUAAUUUAUCCUCCUGCCUCAGCCCCCCAAGUAGUUGGAACCACAGGUGCACGUCACCACACUCAGCUAAUUUUUUUUUUUUUGAGACGGAGUCUCGCUCUGUCGCCCAGGCUGGAGUGCAGUGCCGCCAUCUCUGCUCACUGCAAGUUCUGCCCCCUGGGUUCACACCAUUCUCCUGCCUCAGCCUCCUGACUAGCUGGGACUACAGGCACCCGCCACCAUGGCCUGCUAAUUUUUUAGUAUUUUUAGUAGAGACAGGGUUUCACCGUGUUUGCCAGGAUAGUCUCAAUCUCCUGACCUCAUGAUCCACCUGCCUCGGCCUCCCAAAGUGCUGGGAUUACAGGCAUGAGUCACCGCGCCCAGCCAUCAGAUAAUUUUUAAAGUUUUUGUAGAAAGGGUGUCGCUGUGUUGCCCAGGCUGGUCUUGAACUCCUGGGCUCAAGUGAUCUUCCGGCCUCGGCCUCCCCCAGCACUGGGGUGACAGGUGUGAGCCGCCACACGCGGCCUGUGGCUGUUCUGAGCAAUCACGUGGCCUUUGGCUCAUAGAGUCUGAGAUGCUUACUCUCUCGCCCUUUACAGGAAUCGUUUGCUGAAACCCUGUUCUCACUCCCACUUUCCUUUCUGUCAUUGAGAGUCCUGGCUCUCAUCAGCCACCAUGUAUUCCAAUUAUUUGCUUUGCCCUAGAGUCCACAGAAAAUAGCUUUAGGUGUGCUAACCUAUACCAUUGUGAAAACAUCUACUGCCUAGAGCCUGUUCACACGGUAAUGGUGCACAGUCCUUUUUGUCUUUCUCCUUAGAGCACCUAGUCACUCACUGUUUUCCAAAGUUACGUAGGUUAGCUUCCCCUGUGUUACUCACUUGUAAUACAGUUAGGUGCAUUUCUUCUGGCUAGUAUUCCAUGUGGGUGUCUCCCCCAUCUUUUUGUUUAUUUACUUAUUUCUUUUUUUGUUGUUGUUGUUUUUUUGAGGUGGAGUCUCGCUCUGUUGCCCAGGCUGGAGUGUAGUGGCGCGAUCUUGGCUCACUGUGACCUCUGUCUCCUGGGUUCCAGCGAGCCUCCUGCCUCAGGUUCCCGAGUAGCUGGGAUUACAGGUGCCCGCCACUGCGCCUGGCUAAUUUUUGUAUUUUUUUUUUAGUAGAGAUGGGGUUUCACCAUCUUGGCCAGGCUGGUCUCGAACUGCUGACCUCGUGAUCCACCCACCUCGGUCUCCCAAAGUGCUGCGAUUACAGGCGUGAGCCACCGCGCCCGGCUUUACUUAUUUCUUGAGUAUGUAAAUCACGAACAUGUGUUUAAAAGGCAGAACCCUGUAGAAACUUAAAUUCAGAUGUAUUACUCCCCCACCGCCAUCGUUUUUUUUGUUGUUGUUGUUGAGACAGGGUCUGAUUCUGUCACCCAGGCUGGAGUGCAGGGUGCCAUCUCAGCUCGUGGUGGCAUCCACCUCCCAGACUCAAGUGAUCCUCCUGCCUCAGCCCCCUGAGUAGCUGGGGCUGUAGGUGUGCACUACUAUGCUCGGGUAAUUUUUUUUUUUUGGAACAAGGUCUUGCUCUUGUCCCCUAGGCUGGAGUGCAGUGGCGUGAUUUCGGCUCACUGCAACUCACUCUGGGUUCAAGCAAUUCUCUUGCCUCAGCCUCCCGAGUAGCUGGGGUUACAGGCAUGUACCACCACGCCCGGCUAAUUUUUGUAUUUUUAGUAGAGACGGGGUUUCACCAUGUUGGCCAGGCUGGUCUCGAACUCCCGACCUCAGGGGAUCUGCCUGCCUCCCAAAGAAUACAACGGGCUGGGCAUGGUGGCUUACGCCUGUAAUCCAAACACUUUGGGAGGCCAAGGCAGGUGGAUCACCUGAGGUCGGGAGUGCAAGACCAACCUGGCCAACAUGGUGAAACCCCGUCUCUCCUAAAAAUACAAAAAUUAGCUAGGUGUGAUUCCAGGCGCCUGUAAUCCCAGCUACUUGGGAGGCUGGGGCAGGAGAAUCGCCUGAAUCCAAGAGGCGGAGGUUGCAGUGAGCUGAGAUCGUGCCACUGCACUCCAGCCUGGGUGACAGAGCAAAACUCUGUCUCAAAAAAAAAAAAGGCUCACGCCUGUAAUCCCAGCACUUUGGGAGGCCGAGGCGGGCGGAUCACCUGCGGUCAGGAGUUCGAGACCAGCCCAGCCAGCAUGGAGAAACCCCGUCUCUACUGAAAAUACAAAAAUUAGCCGGGCGUGGUGGCAGACCCCUGUAGUCCCAGCUACUUGGGAGGCUGAGGCUGGAGAAUCACUUGAACUCAGGAGGUAGAGGUUGCAGUGAGCUGCGAUAGCACCACUGCACUCCAGCCUGCGCGACAGAGGGAGACAUCAUCUCGAAAAAAAAAAAAUUCUUUUUUUUUUUUGAGCUGGAGUUUCGUUCUUGUUGUCUAAGCUGGAGUGCAGGGGUGCGAUCUCGGCUAAUUGCAGCCUCCGCCUCCUGGGUUCAAGCGAUUCUCCAGCCUCGGCCUCCCAAGUAGCUGGGAUUACAGGCAUCCGCCACCACACCCGGCUAAUUUUUUGUAUUUUCAGUAGAGACGUGGUUUCACCAUGUUGGCCGGGCUGGUCUCGAACUCCUGACCUCAGAUGAUCCGCCCGCCUCAGCCUCCCAAAAUGCUGGGAUUACAGGCGUGAGCCACCGUGUCCAGCCAAGAAAAAAAGUUUUGAAUGAAAGAAACAGAAACUGAUGCCAUUAUAUAAUGAACCCUAGUACUCGUCACCCAGCUUCAGCAGGUGUUAGUAUUUUGUGACUCUUUGAUUUUUUUGUCUUGGGCCUAGGUGAAAUGACAAUGGAUGCUCUGUUGGCUCGAUUGAAACUUCUGAAUCCAGAUGACCUUAGAGAAGAAAUCGUCAAAGCUGGAUUGAAAUGUGGACCCAUUACAUCAACUACAAGGUUCAUUUUUGAGAAAAAAUUGGCUCAGGCUUUACUGGAGCAAGGAGGAAGGCUGUCUUCUUUCUACCACCAUGAGGCAGGUGUCACAACUCUCAGCCAAGACCCACAAAGGAUUUUGAAGCCAGCUGAAGGGAACCCAACUGAUCAGGCUGGUUUUUCUGAAGACAGAGAUUUUGGUUACAGUGUGGGCCUGAAUCCUCCAGAGGAGGAAGCUGUGACAUCCAAGACCUGCUCGGUGCCCCCUAGUGCCACCGACACCUACAGAGCUGGAGCGACUGCGUCUAAGGAGCCGCCCCUGUACUAUGGGGUGUGUCCAGUGUAUGAGGACGUCCCAGCGAGAAAUGAAAGGAUCUAUGUUUAUGAAAAUAAAAAGGAAGCAUUGCAAGCUGUCAAGAUGAUCAAAGGGUCCCGAUUUAAAGCUUUUUCUACCAGAGAAGACGCUGAGAAAUUUGCUAGAGGAAUUUGUGAUUAUUUCCCUUCUCCAAGCAAAACGUCCUUACCACUGUCUCCUGUGAAAACAGCUCCACUCUUUAGCAAUGACGGGUUGAAAGAUGGUUUGUGCUUGUCGGAAUCAGAAACAGUCAACAAAGAGCGAGCGAACAGUUACAAAAAUCCCCGCACGCAGGACCUCACCGCCAAGCUUCGGAAAGCUGUGGAGAAGGGAGAGGAGGACACCUUUUCUGACCUUAUCUGGAGCAACCCCCGGUAUCUGAUAGGCUCAGGAGACAACCCCACUAUCGUGCAGGAAGGGUGCAGGUACAACGUGAUGCAUGUUGCUGCCAAAGAGAACCAGGCUUCCAUCUGCCAGCUGACUCUGGACGUCCUGGAGAACCCUGACUUCAUGAGGCUGAUGUACCCUGAUGACGACGAGGCCAUGCUGCAGAAGCGUAUCCGUUACGUGGUGGACCUGUACCUCAACACCCCCGACAAGAUGGGCUACGACACACCGUUGCAUUUUGCUUGUAAGUUUGGAAAUGCAGAUGUAGUCAACGUGCUUUCGUCACACCAUUUGAUUGUAAAAAACUCAAGGAAUAAAUAUGAUAAAACACCUGAAGAUGUAAUUUGUGAAAGAAGCAAAAAUAAAUCUGUGGAACUGAAGGAGCGGAUCAGAGAGUAUUUAAAGGGCCACUACUACGUGCCCCUCCUGAGAGCGGAAGAGACUUCUUCUCCAGUCAUCGGGGAGCUGUGGUCCCCAGACCAGACGGCCGAGGCCUCUCACGUCAGCCACUAUGGAGGCAGCCCCAGAGACCCGGUGCUGACCCUGAGAGCCUUCGCAGGGCCCCUGAGUCCAGCCAAGGCAGAAGAUUUUCGCAAGCUCUGGAAAACUCCACCUCGAGAGAAAGCAGGCUUCCUUCACCACGUCAAGAAGUCGGACCCGGAAAGAGGCUUUGAGAGAGUGGGAAGGGAGCUAGCUCAUGAGCUGGGGUAUCCCUGGGUUGAAUACUGGGAAUUUCUGGGCUGUUUUGUUGAUCUGUCUUCCCAGGAAGGCCUGCAAAGACUAGAAGAAUAUCUCACACAGCAGGAAAUAGGCAAAAAGGCUCAACAAGAAACAGGAGAACGGGAAGCCUCCUGCCGAGAUAAAGCCACCACGUCUGGCAGCAAUUCCAUUUCCGUGAGGGCGUUUCUAGAUGAAGAUGACAUGAGCUUGGAAGAAAUAAAAAAUCGGCAAAAUGCAGCUCGAAAUAACAGCCCGCCCACAGUCGGUGCUUUUGGACAUACGAGGUGCAGCACCUUCCCCUUGGAGCAGGAGGCAGACCUCAUAGAAGCCGCCGAGCCGGGCGGUCCACACAGCAGCAGAAAUGGGCUCUGCCAUCGUCUGAGUCACAGCAGGACCCUGGCGGGCAAGAGACCAAAGGCCCCCCGUGGGGAGGAAGCCCGUCUGCCAUCUGUCUCUGAUUUGACUGUUGCGUUUGAUAAACUGAAUUUGCAAAAUGUAGGAAGUAGCGUUUCCAAGACACCAGAUGAAAAUACAAAAACUAAAGAUCAGAUCCUGACUUCAAGAAUCAAUGCAGUAGAAAGAGACUUGUUAGAGCCUUCUCCCGCAGACCAACUCGGGAAUGGCCACAGGAGGACAGAAAGUGAAAUGUCAGCCAGGAUCGCUAAAAUGUCCUUGAGUCCCAGCAGCCCCAGGCACGAGGAUCAGCUCAAGGUCACGAGGGAACCGGCCAGGCGGCUCUUCCUUUUUGGAGAGGAGCCGUCAAAACUCGAUCAGGAUGUUUUGGCCGCUCUUGAAUGUGCAGACGUUGACCCCCAUCAGUUCCCGGCCGUGCACAGAUGGAAGAGUGCUGUCCUGUGCUACUCACCCUCGGACAGACAGAGUUGGCCCAGUCCCGCGGUGAAAGGAAAGUUCAAGUCUCAGCUGCCAGAUCUCAGUGGCCCUCACAGCUACAGUCCAGGGAGAAACAGCGUGGCUGGAAGCAACCCCGCAAAGCCGGGCCUGGGCAGUCCUGGGCGCUACAGCCCCGUGCACAGGAGCCAGCUCCGCAGGAUGGCGCGCCUGGCUGAGCUUGCCGCCCUGUAGGCUUGGCGCUGGGCUCUCGGUUUGUUCUUCAUUUUUAAAGAAGGAAGCGUCAUAUGUUUAUUGCUAAACUGUCAAAAAGGAAUAUAUUCUGAUUAAAUUAUUACUCCUCACUUUGAGGGUGUGAGAAUUUUAGAAGAUUUAAAUGUUCUAUAUAACACUUAGAUUUCUGAUAUUUUGGAAGAAGUUAGAAGUUAAUGAAAGCAAACUCAGAUACCAAUUUUCUGGAAAAUAUCCAUGUGGUAAUGGUAGACUUUUUAGGUGGCAAUUUCUAGGUCUGAAAUAUAGCAGAGGAAAGGGCGCUGAGGCAGUUGCAGGCAGGCAGCCCUGUACUCACCCUGUACUCACCUCAUCCGACAGACGCUGUGGACGAGGAGGGGCUUGGCGGAGGCGUGAGCACCGAUGUCCCUGUGAUAACCUGCACUCACCAAGAUGAACUAUUUGCUGCCCUGUCUUUUCCUGGGUGGGGGGGUGGCAUCUGAUGGUGGCAGAGUGCCUGUUGGUUCGCCCGUGGGUCUCAUGGUUCAGACGGAGGGAGGUGGAUGGCAGGGAUCAGGGAGCCAGGAGCGCGCCUCAGACUUGCAGCAACCAUUGUGAUUUGGGUUGUUCGGAAUAUUUAAAUUACUGAUCAGAAGAUGAAAGUAGCUUUUCUCUUGGGAAGUCUUGCAGCCCGUGGGAGUGAUACCAGGAGAAACACAGAGCUCAGCAGCGGCGCCAAGGUGUUCCCUGUUUCCUCAGCACGUGAGCCUUCACUGCCUGCUUCAUUCAGGAGCCAGUGCAGCAGUAAUACAGUCUAUACAUUGUUCUGUUUUCAAAUUUAUCCUGAGGCUUUGUUGAGCAUAAAUGAUUAUACGAUAAAGGUAUCCUUUAUUUUGGAACUCAUUUCAGUUGGGAUCUCCUGUAUGCAGAGUGUUGCAUUUAGAGGUUUGAGUCCCAUCUUGGUUUCUUGCCGUGCUGACUGUAGCCUUCACCUUAGCUUGAAUGAAGGUCUGUGGUUGGAAUGUGUGAGGAGCCACUGAGGUGUUCAGGAGGUGCUGCCUGGAGGUCGGUUUCUUCCUGGGUGUUACGGGCAACUGCUCACACAGUUGUUUCUCUGUGAACAUUUCCAGUGUUUAAUCCAAAAUGAAAACCCACCAAUGCUUUUGCUAACUUCAGUGCCUUUUAUAAAUCAUUUUUAAAUUUCCUGAACUUGCUUUUUGAGGAUAUACAGGGAUAUUAAGUAGACGCAGGAUUGUUUUUGUUUGUAAAAAUUCUGAAUUGAAACUUUGUUUUAAAAAAAGGCUUCUUUCUUUCAUAUGACAAGAGAUAGGUCAGGAAUAUUGGAAUCAAGAUUUAAAUGUUAAAAUUCGAUUUUGUUACACAGGGUGUGUUCAUUUGUUUUGUAGCAGACAAGAUCUAGAUCCCAGACAGAAACAACACAUGCUAUUCUAAAAAGCCGCAUUUUAAAAGGCACCUUGGUUCUCAAAAGAAAUCCGAAUAUGGAUAUUCGUAGUGAUGAUCUGUUUUCUCUAAAAUCUUACCAUAUUGUCUGUAUAUGGUUGUAAAUUCAAAUGGAAAGUAAAACGUUUUGGCCCUGA
rnacentral:sRNA from 1 species